UCCCUGGAGGACUAGUGGGUAGGCCUCGGCGUUCUCACAGCCAUGGCCCGGGUUCGAUUCGGCCAGGGAG
rnacentral:tRNA from 1 species